CUACGGGGCGCUGCAGUGAGGAAUAUUGCACAAUGGAGGAAACUCUGAUGCAGCAACGCCGCGUGGAGGAUGACGCAUUUCGGUGUGUAAACUCCUUUUAUAUGUCAAGAAAAUGACGGUAGCAUAUGAAUAAGCUCCGGCUAACUCCGUGCCAGCAGCCGCGGUAAUACGGAGGGAGCAAGCGUUACUCGGAAUCACUGGGCGUAAAGGACGCGUAGGCGGGAUAGAAAGUCAGGUGUGAAAUCCUAUGGCUCAACCAUAGAACUGCACUUGAAACUUCUAACCUAGAGGAUGGGAGGGGAAGAUGGAAUUAGUGGUGUAGGGGUAAAAUCCGUAGAUAUCACUAGGAAUACCAAAAGCGAAGGCGAUCUUCUGGAACAAUACUGACGCUAAGGCGUGAAAGCGUGGGGAGCAAACAGGAUUAGAUACCCUAGUAGUC
rnacentral:rRNA from 1 species